UACGUAGGGAGCAAGCGUUGUCCGGAAUCAUUGGGCGUAAAGCGCGCGUAGGCGGCCCUGUAAGUCCGUUGUGAAAGUCAAAGGCUCAACCUUUGAAAGCCGAUGGAUACUGCAGGGCUAGAGUCCGGAAGAGGCGAGUGGAAUUCCGAGUGUAGAGGUGAAAUUCGUAGAUAUUCGGAGGAACACCAGUGGCGAAGGCGGCUCACUGGUCCGGUACUGACGCUGAGGUGCGAAAGCGUGGGGAGCAAACAGG
rnacentral:rRNA from 1 species